AAAAAAGAUUAAACCACUGAACAUCAAUAGAGGAACAAGUCAUACUAUCAUCGAACAUUAAUGGAGGAAUAAGCUAUAUUAUCAUAUUUCAUUAAUAUGAUGGUCAUUACCUAUAUUGAAAGAUUCAAAGUCUCAAAUCAAAUGAAAUCAAUUAUUCACAUUGUAUUUCGAACUGCUAAAAAAUCUAUUAAAAAAAAAAGAACUCUGUUAAGGGGAGAAAACAAAACUCUAAUAAUUGAGAGAAUAAGACUCAAUAUUAGAAAGAGAUUUUUGUAUUUAUUUAUAACGGAUAUAAAUAAGAAAAAGAAAAAUCCAAAUCUAUUUUAAAGGAAAUAAGAUAUGAGAGUUUAUUAAAAAUAAUAAAAUAAAUAAAAAUCAAUUUAGAGAUAGCUACGGAUAGUUUUUCGAUAUCUGACAAAUGAAGAAUUAUAAAAAAGGAAAGAAAAGAAAAGGAAA
rnacentral:misc_RNA from 1 species